rnacentral:lncRNA from 1 species
GCAAGUUCCCGUCUUCAUCUUCUUCCUACCAUAUCCAACACAUUAUUCUUCUCUGACAACUACUUUGAGAUCCUCUUUCUAUUCUUGAGAUGACUGUGUGUUAAGAGUUUUUUCCCCUCUUUUUUUUAUUAGGUCAUGAUCAGAGCUAUCCAGCCCACCCCAAAAUUUCAAUUACUUUGAAUACCAGAAAGAAGGGAAUGAGGUCUAGGUUUCCUCCUUCUACGAAUGCUCUGGGAAUUCUCAGCUUUUUCUUCUAUGAAGAAUUCCUGACACACACAGAGAUCACCAUGGGAAGAUGGAGGCA